ACCUCUGUGGUCUAAUGGUACGACGUCAGAAGUCAAGUUGCAUUUUGCAAUCUGGAGAUCGCGGGUUCGACUCUCGCCAGGGGUA